rnacentral:ncRNA from 1 species
UAAUAAAUUUUUAUAGUUUAAAGAAUUUAUUAUGAAUUUAUUUUACAUAUAAAUUUUAGUGUUAAAUUUUUAAUAUUUUAAAAAUAUUAUUAAUUUUAAAAUAGUAAUUAAUAUUAAAUAUUUAAGAAAUUAAGAUUUAGUAAUAUUUAAAUUAAAAACUAAUUUUGUGCCAGCAGUUGCGGUUAUACAAAAUUUAAAUUAAAUUUUUUUAGUAAUUAAUUAAUAAAUAAAUUUAUUAAUUCAUUAAAUAUUGAAUUAUUAAGUGAAAUUUUAAUUUAAUUAAAUUUUAUUUUUAAUUUAUGAUAUUAAUAAAUUUUAUAAAAAACUAGGAUUAGAUACCCUAUUAUUAAAAAUUUAAAUUAAAAAUACUGAAGUAGUAGAUAAUUAUUUAUUGAAAUUUAAAUAAUUUGGCGGUAUUUUAGUUCAUUUAGAGGAAUCUGUUUAUUAAUUGAUAAUCCACGAUUAAAUUUACUUAAUUUUUUUUUAUUUUGUAUAUCGUUGUUAAAAAAAUAUAUUUAUAAAAAUAAAAUAAUAUUUAAAAAUUUAAAUGAGAAAUUAAAUCAGAUCAAGAUGCAGAUAAUAAUUAAGAAUAUAAUGGAUUACAAUAAAUUUAUUUAAAUGAAUAUUAUUUUGUAAAAAAUAAUUGAAGGUGGAUUUAAAUGUAAUUUUAUUUAAUUUAUUAAAAUGAUUAAAAAUUAAUAUAUGUACAUAUUGCCCGUCGCUUUCAUAAAUAAAUUGAAAUAAGUCGUAACAAAGUAGAGGUACUGGAAAGUGUUUCUAGAAAUAG